UGUUCUUUGUUAAUAUAAUAAUUAGCCAUUUGGUGCUUUUAUUUUUUCUGGUGUGCUAUAAUUUGAAAUCAGUUUUAACUUGUUUUUGUAUUUGUUUCUUUUUAGUAUAAAAGAACUUGUGUGGAUUAGCUUGCUAAAUACAUCCAAGAUUUGAAGAACUGAAAACAAAAUCAGUAUUAAACCUGCUUUUUAAAAAUGUAAGUGAAGUAACUUCUGGCCAUGGUUCAUUUCAGACCUCUCUAAAGCCUGCAAUUAC
rnacentral:lncRNA from 1 species